rnacentral:tRNA from 1 species
UCCCUUGUGGCUCAGCUGGUAAAGAAUCCACCUGGAGUGUGGGAGACCUGGGUUUGAUCCCUGGCUUGGGAA